CACACACACACACACAGUAAUAUAUACACACACACACAGUAAUAUAUACACACACACACACACACAGUAAUAUAUACACACACACACACACACAGUAAUAUAUAUACACAAGUAAUAUAUACACACACACACACACACACAGUAAUAUAUACACACACACACACACACAGUAAUAUAUACACACACACACACACAGUAAUAUAUAUACACACACAGUAAUAUAUACACACACACACAGUAAUAUAUACACACACACACACACACAGUAAUAUAUACACACACACACACACAGUAAUAUAUAUACACACACAGUAAUAUAUACACACACACAAUAAUAUAUACACACACACACACACAGUAAUAUAUAUACACACACAGUAAUAUAUAUACACACACAGUAAUAUAUAUACACACACAGUAAUAUAUACACACACACAGUAAUAUAUACACACACACACACACACAGUAAUAUAUACACACACACACACACACAGUAAUAUAUACACACACACACACACACACAGUAAUAUAUAUACACACACACACACAGUAAUAUAUAUACACACACACACACACACACAGUAAUAUAUACACACACACACACAGUAAUAUAUACACACACACACACAGUAAUAUAUAUACACACACACACACAGUAAUAUAUACACACACACACACAGUAAUAUAUACACACACACACACACACACAGUAAUAUAUACACACACACACACACAGUAAUAUAUACACACACACACACACAGUAAUAUAUACACACACACACACACA